rnacentral:RNase_P_RNA from 1 species
UAAGAUGGUCAUAUGGUUGCGUGGCAUCAAGUCACGAGGAAAGUCCGAGCACCGUACGACAAGGUGCUAGUUAAUUGCUAGUGGAGGCGACUCUAAGGAAAGUGCAACAGAAAAUUACCGCUAUGCAAUGUUAUAUUGUGUAGUAAGGGUGAAAAGGCAGUGUAAGAGACUACCACUGUCUAGGUGACUAGACAGGUUAUGCAAACCCCACUUGGUGCAAGAUGUGAGACAUACAAGUUGUCAGCUUUGUCUCCUAUAUCGCUUGAGCAUACUGGCGACAGUAUGCCUAGAUAGAUAACCAUACAAUACAGAACUCGGCUUAUAGAUCAUGCUUUGGCA